rnacentral:rRNA from 1 species
UGCAGUCGACGAGCCCGCCCUUCGGGGCGGUGACUGAUGGCAAACGGCUGAAUAACGCGUAGUGACCUGUCCCGAGAGGGGGACAACCCGCGGAAACGCGGGCUAAUACCCCAUACGCCCAUCGGCUCGGACCGGUGGGGAAAUGUUCCGGCGCCUUGGGAGGGGCCUGCGUCCGAUUAGCUAGUUGGUGGGGUAGCGGGGUCAGCAAGGCGACGAUCGGCAGCUGGUCUGAGAGGGGUGAUCAGCCAUACUGGGACUGAGACACGGCCCAACUCCUACGGGAGGCAGCAUCGAGGAAUCUUGCGCAAUGGGCGAAAGCCUGACGCACGAGCGCCGCGUGGGUGAAGAAGGCCUUCGGGUUGUAAUCCCUUUUGUCGGGGUAAAAGUUCUGACGGUACCCGGGAAUAACCACCUAACUACAAACCAAACAACCGCGGUAAGACGUAGGUGGCGAGCGUUAUCCGGAUUUACUGGGCGUAAAAGCGUACGUAGGCGGGCAUCGGAAGUCUGCCGUGAAAUCUCCCGGCUCCACCGGGAGC